rnacentral:tRNA from 1 species
GGCUUGCUGGUCUAGUGGUAUGAUUCUCGCUUAGGGUGCUAGAGGUCACGGGUUCGAUUCCGGUGCAAGCCC